rnacentral:pre_miRNA from 1 species
UCGUAUGUAUCAUUCGUCUUAUUUAAAAAAAAUUUGUGAUUAAUAUUUUUGUUAUUACUAGAUGAUAAAAUAUGAAUAGUGCUUUGUGCGUGACUAAUUUUUUUUAAAGUUUUUAUACAAAUUUUUUAAAUAAGACGAAUGGUCAAAUGUUGGACACGGAAAAAC